UAUGAAGUUAAUGAACUUAUAUAGAGAGUUUGCAUUUGAUUUGAUUUGAUACUUCAAAUUUCAAAAUUUUGGUACCGAGGCAGUAUAAAAUUUACAAAUAACGCUCUUUAUACGUCUUCUAGAUCAAGAGUAACGAGGGUUUAGUAUCAUUUUACUGAAUUUUCCUUCAUCUUAGUUUGAAAAACAGCUCAAACUGGUGUAGGUAUUCUGGCUUUUUAUUGUAUGGUAUUUAUAGCCAGAAAUAAAUGGAGCCUUUUUACGUGUUUCAUCCCGUAAUCGUAUUUUCAAGGUGUCCCAGUAGAAGCGGGAUUUCAUAGGUACUUUCGAUAAUACGAUAAUAAGGAUUAGGCUAAAUGGGACAACUGUGCAGUUUUCAGUGCGGUUUAGAAGAAAACAAGAAGAGUAAGGUGCAUUACCUUUGUUGGCUGACCUACCAAAAAAAGGUCGUGUUCAUGGUCGCGUACCUACUUGCAAACGGUUCUUUUAGUUAGCUACUUACCUACUUCGAACAGAUGCAAAUUAAAGCCAUCUAUCAUGUGCAUUAGCCGUCGACGCGAAGUCCACCAAAAAGCUUAUAGGUAUUUAAUAUAAUGAGACUUAAUGUCUGUAUGUAUAUCGGUAUUAGGGUUACGACAUAGAUAUUAUAUAUGAUAUCUGUAAUGUCGCCCACUAAUUCUGAAAAUAAAAAACAUACAAAAUUCUUUUCAUUGGCAUACCGAUCCAUAGGUAGAUCGUUUUGUAAACUGAAAUUUCGUUUCCGUGUUUCGAUUACAAAUUGCUACCGUCAUUGUAGGUAGUUACGCUUUAUUUUCAGUACAGGAACGAAAGGGGAGGUGAAUGUACACAUUAGGGUAAAUAAUUUGAGGCGUGGUCACAUAAACAAUAAUUACUAAUUUUCAGACAUAACUGUUAAUUUGACGCCACGACGCUCACCUAAUAAGGAGUCCAAGAUAUUGAAGCUCAGUUCUAUCGUGCGCAUCCUGAAUUUAGAGAUUUAACUAUCCCACUACUCGUCCAAAAUCUAUAUAAAGCGCCCAAUAUAUAGGCUAUUCAUGUCCAGAUUGG